GGGGUUGUGGCAAAGUGGUAGAGCGCUCACCUUGCAUGUGUGAGACCCUGGGUUCGAUUCUCAGCACCACA
rnacentral:tRNA from 1 species